AUUUCUCUACUGCUUUCUAACGAGCAGCACUUUGUGAGAAUGGUCUGAACCAUAACCGAAGGCUUCAUACACAAGUGUGCGAAUCAGAUGAGAGACUUGAACCACAGGAAAAGUUCCCCACCUGGGAAAGACUUAACAGUUUGGGAUGUGAAGAGGGCACGCAGGCGGUGGACUCUGAUCAUCUAAAAGAACGAAGGGGACAACGUGGCCGAUCCUGGAUGAAACAAGGGCAAAACAAGGAAACAAUACUUACACCCGCAGCCCCUAAGAAAU
rnacentral:lncRNA from 1 species